UGGUCUCCUUGAUUCCAUGAGGCACCUCAGAGUCACCAUGGCCCCUUGGUUCCAGGAGGUUCUGUGCUGUCAGCAAUGUCUCCUUGCUUCUCCAGUGUCACAAUGGCUGCACGAAGGCCUUAGGGUUUAAAAAACAGAGCAUGAGCUCAGUCCAUGAGAAGACGUGAUAGAAGCAUUCCUCAAGUGAUCUUGAUGCUGAAUGUCUCCUUAGGAGGUCUUGGCAUGGAGAAGAAUGAGCCCCUUGCGGGCUGACUCUUUUUGUACAACCUGCUCCUCAUCCCCAGCCUCACCAUGUCUGACAUCGCCCACCUGGGACUGACAUCCCUGUGCCCUGAAGCAGAAACUAUCCCCUGAGCUCUGCAGCUCUACAUCCCAGCCCAUUGCAACAUGUCCCACCUUCUCUCCUCAGGGCUCUGCCUGCAUGCAGGCCCAUGAGAAGUUUUCCUGUUUGUAAGGAAGGCGUAGAAAAGCCUGAGCAGAUUUCCUGAACAACAAACCCCACUCAGAACCACCUGCUCAGUACAGGCUGCCUGGAAUGGUGUCACCUUUCUACAAGGGACAGUGUGACCAGAAAUGAUUUCUGGAAGCAGAAUUCUCCAAGUCUUGCAGCUGAAUUCUCUGUCCCUGUUUGUUCCCUGGAUCUCUGCUGCAGAUGGAAGCUGCUGGUGCCAUUCUCACCUUUAACCCCUCUUUUGAAUGCAAACAGAUGUUCCCAGGUGUGUUAAGCAGGUGUUGCUCAAUGUUUAUGCAAAGGUUUUCGGUUCCUCAUGCAGCCAAGGAGACGCUUGUGACACAGCGAGGGCUUAUGGAACCAGUGGUCCAUUGUGACACUGCCCAUUCAAGGAGACCAUGGUGACACCAUGGAACCUCAUGGAACAGAGGAUCCAUAGUGACACAGCAGAGCCCUGUGGAACCAAGGAGCCUUUGUGAUACUCCAGAUCCUCAUGGAACCAAGGGUGCAUUGAGGCACAGUCAGGUCUUGUUGGAACCAAAGAAACUUCUGUAAAAAGCAGGGUAACUCACAGAACCAGGGAGUCCAUUGUUACAGGAUAAAACCUAUGGAACCAGGGAUCCAUUGUGACAAAGUGGGGCCUCAUGGAAACAAGGGGCCACUGUAACAUAGUGGAACCGCACGGAACAAAUUGUGCAUUAUGACAAUGUAGAUCCAAGGAGACCAUGGUGACACUGUGGAACCUCAUGGAUCCAAGGGGCCAUUGUGACACUGAAGAACUUCAUGGAACCCAGGGUCUGUUGUGGCACAGCAGGGCCUCAUUGGAACAAAGGAACCAUUGUUGACACUACAUAAACUCAUGGAACCAAGGGGCCAUGGUGACACAGCAGGGCCAUAUGGAACCAAGGAGGCCAGUGACAUUUAGGAACCUCAAGGAACCAAGGGUCCAUUAUGACACUGCAGAAACAAGGAGGCCAUUGCUGACACUAUGGAAAUUCAUGGAACCAAGCAGCCAUUGUGACACUGCAAGGUGUCAUUGAACCAGGGAGACCAUGGUAACACUAGAGAACCUAGAGAACUAAGGGUUUAUUGUGACACAGCAGGGGCCCAUGUAGCCAAUUGUCCAUUGUGACAAUGCAGCUCUGAGGAGACCACGGUGACACUAUGGAAGCCCAUGGAACCAUGGAUCCAUUGGGACAAAGCAAGGCCUCGUGGAACCAAGGAGACCAUGGUGACAUCAUGGAAACUCAGGGAACCAAGGGUUCAUUGUUACAGUCCAGAACCAAGGAGACCAUGGUGACAGUACAGAACCUCACAGGACCAAGAUUCCAUUGUUGAGCAGUGGGGCUCCAUGGAUCCAAGGAAGCACUGUGACACAGCAGGGCUGCAUGGAACCAAUGAUCCAUAGAGAUACUGAAGAUCCAAGGAGACCAUGGUGAUACCACGGAACCUCAUUGAACCAAGGGUCCAUUGUGACACUGUGGGGCCCCUGGAACCAAAUAUUCAUGGUGACACAGCAGGGCUGCUUGUGACCAAUUGUCCAUUUUGAUACUGCAGAUCCAAGAGACCAGGGUGACACUAUAGCAGUUCAUGGAAUCAAGGGGCUGUUGUGACACACCAAGGCCUUGUGGAACCAAGGACAGCAUUGUGGCAGUGCAGAACCAAGGCAACCAUUCUGACAGUACAGAACCCAAUGAAAACAAGGGUCCAUUGUUACACAGCAGGGCCUGAUGGAACCAAGCGGCCAUUGUGAAACUGUGGGGCAUAACAGAGUCAAGGACACCACUGAUACUGAAAUCCACAGGACAUAAACUUUUGAACACAGUUUUGAAUAUUUGAAAGCAGGUAUUCUUCAUUACAGCAUGGUGGUCACUUGGGCCAUCCUUCCUCCAUUCGAGUGCACUGAACAUCAAGUGAACAGAGUUUUUUGCAGACACACUGAUUACAUAUUCAUGAGCUCUCCCCACAUCCUUUGAAUUUAUUUAAUAUAGUUGCACCCCUUAUCAGAAAUCUUUAUGGGGUUCUUGCGGGUUUGUUUCCAACAUCUGUUGUCCUUUUUAGAUGGCUGUUCCUCAACUCCUGCUUUUGAGUAAGGGCAAUUUUGUUGUUUUGCAUAACUUCUGCUUUGUCGGCCUUGCAGAGCAGAGCUGGCAUCCUGCUUGUGUUUUGUGUGAGUAACAUCCUUUAUCUGCUUCUCCAAAGUUGUGCUGUUCUGUUCUACUCUCCUCAUCACAUCCCCCCUUUUCUUGAGACUCAGUUCCUUAUAUGGACUGGUCUCUCAAUAGUUCCAUUUUAUAGCGUAGGGCACUAUAGCACUGAAUUGUGAUGGAAGCAAAAUCCAUACAGCAAUUAUUGUGGUGACCAUUUUAAACAGAUGUUUUAACCAAACUCAGCUGGGUAGUCAGGAAAGAAGUUUGGUCCAGAUUUCUUCAAAUCCCCAGGACAUUUCAUCUUGAGCUGUCCAUUGAAAGAAUUUUUAAACUAUAAUACUCGGUCCCAAAGUCAGUUCUUGAUCUUCCUGGAUCAAUAAAAGAGCAGCUGCUACUGCCCUCAGACAGCCCAGAGAGCCCUGGCUGACAUUGUCUGGUUGCUGUGAAAAGUAGGCACAGCCCUGCUGCAGCCCCCAGGAACUGUGACAGCCCUCCCCGUGCUGGGUUUUGUCUCUCAUAGGGAAACAGAUCCAAUGGCUCCAUAGGGUCUGGGAGCCCCAAAGCAGGGCCUGCAUGAGGGCUCGCUGGAGCUGUGAAAAGGCAGCCCAUGCCACACCAGUCCAGACUAUAAAGUCCUGCUGAGCUGCCCUCAAGAGCUCUCACAGCAGCUUUACCAGCAGCCCAUAAUUGCUGAUGCACAGCUGACAUCAUUCCACUGCCCUGAGAAACGCCUGCGACUCUCUCAUCGUUCAUGGCUGUGGGAGUUGGCAAAUUGCUUCCUUUCCUUCCUGUCCCAACCCCCUUUGUCCCUGGAGGAUUUUGAAUCCCAGGUAGGCUUCUGUGGUCUGGACUGUUUGUACUCUGUAUCCACUUAGUCCCAGAAAAUUCCACAAUGCCACAGUCUUAUCCCUGCAUUGCUGCUGAGUUUCAGUGGCCUCAGAAUGCCAUCUCCAGCCUGGAACAAGACUCCAAGACUCCAAGAGGGUUCUGAUGCUUCCAUUCCUCCAGUUCUUUUGCCACUUGGUUUCCAUAUAAGGUGGGGGUAUUUUUAAACCCCUCUGGUAGAACUGGCCAAGUCAGUUGGGUUCUUCUCACUGUGUUUGGACUUCCCCAUUCAGAAGUAAAUAGUUCUUGACUUCACUACUCAAAGAGAUACAGAAAAAGCCACUUUCAAAUUCUAUACUGUGGACCAUUUUAAUUUUUCACUCCAGGUUGUUAACAAGGAUUUGCUACUGACGUGUGUAUAUCUUCCAUUGUCUCAUUUAUGGCUCUAGGAUCCUGUACCAGCCACUAAUCCUCUCCAUCUGCCUUCUUAACUGGCAAAAUAAGGAUAUUACAUUUGGAUUAAUAUUCCUUCAACUGGUCUUAUUUUAGAAAUCUUUCCACAAGGGAUAAUAACCCCCUAAAACUUUAUUUUUUCAAAGGGUAUUGUUUUUGCCUUACUCGUCCUGCUCAGAGUUUCAAUUUAUUUCUUACAGACGCUGCUUUUCUGGGUCACUGGUACACCUCUCCAGUCCAGACUACCAGAUUUACUGCAUCCUUAAGUGAUACAGAUGGCAGAUGGAUCACAUCUGAUUUUGAAGACUGCAGUGCAAAAAUAGAGGCUUCUACUCCAAAUUACAUUUUGGAGUAAUAACCUGCAUUUUGCCAUUAUAAUCUUGAUUUUAGCAUUCAGGUUUUCCAAUAAAUCCUCCAAGGAGAAGCUUUAGUAAAUUGAAUAGAUUCAUUGUUUUCCUAAUUUAAAAUCAAUGGGCCGGGAAAAUGGCUGAGUUUCAUGAUUCCCUGUUGCACCAAUGAUUGUUAUAGAAUCAUUACUCAAGCUUCCUUUGGUUGUAUUUAGCACAGAGCAACCAGCUUCUGUAGCCACUAAAAUUCUAACUCCUCAUUGACCUCCUCCCUCCCAGCUUAGCUGUGACCAGAGGUUCUGCUGGGAAAGAAUCCUCUGGUCCCCCUCAGUGGCCAUCGAUGAUAGCCACGAGAGGGGGGUUUUGUGUUGUAACUGCAGACAGUCCUUUUUCAAAUUUUUCAAAUGCCUCUCUUUCUUACAAUGGGCACAUUGAUUAACACCAAGUCUCUUUUCUUUCUUCCUCUCCUAUUCUUUGAUGAGCCCUGAGGGAAAAGAUUGAAUUGUGGAAUAACUCACAUUGGAAGAGUGUCCUUUGCAACAGAGCCUUCAAUUGUACCAAAUGUGGCUUCACUUACAGCUGUUCUGAUUGGUUCUGAUAAUCCACCUAAUCAUGGUGCAUUUCUGGAAAGCCACCCCAAGAAUCUGGUGACAUCUGCUACACAAUACCAGUGCCUGCAAGCGCAGCCUCCAAACAGGGUUGCCUCAGGACACUGGUGCUCCUGCAGCCUUGUGCCAGGUUAACAGAUAAGAGAUUCAUCUGCACACCCAGACAGGGCACCAACAAUGGCAGCAGGAGAAACUCAGUUCAUUCUCUGCCCUGGCUGCUCCCAGGGCCAUCACUGGAGAGCUACCAGCUCAUUAGGAACCCAUCUCCAAAACUGAGAAGAGCUCAGAGGAACAGUGGCAAGUGACAAUCCAAAGUGCAGCUCCUGAGCAAUGGAUACCUUGUCCCAGCUCCUUCCCUGGGACAGCCAUCAGCCCCAGUGUCCAGGUUUGAAACCCCAAAGGCACUGAGAGCAGG